rnacentral:rRNA from 1 species
GAUCCUGGCUCAGGAUGAACGCUGGCGGCGUGCCUAACACAUGCAAGUCGAACGGAGUUAUUUUGGUGAAGUUUUCGGAUGGAUCUGAUUUAACUUAGUGGCGGACGGGUGAGUAAUGCGUGAGCAACCUGCCCCUUCAGAGGGGGACGAACAGUUGGAAACGACUGCUAAUACCGCAUAAUGUAUUCGGGUAGGGCAUCUUCUGGAUACCAAAGGAGAAAUCCGCUGAUGGAUGGGCGUCACGU